rnacentral:lncRNA from 1 species
UGCACGCCUGGGGGCUGAAAGGUAAAGAGAGGAUGGGGGAGAAACCGAUAAUUUUAAACAUUGCUUUUAGAGAACAAAGUAGAGAUUAAAAUCCAGGUGUUCUUGUGAAUAUUCUAUUGCUAUAGUAUUGACUUUCAGAACUGGGUUAGUUGGGUUAGUUGACAAGGACUGUCUGGGCAUAGGCAGGAAUGGAGAAAAGCUAAAUGUCGAGAACAGUGGAAUUCAUAGUAAUUCUUUUAAAACCUUCAUUUUAGAAUAAAUAUUUUUUGGUUCCUACAAGAUGCAUCUUAAAUUGAUUUUUUUUUUUUUUUGUCAAUAGUUUGAAUUCUGUGCUAGAGGCUGGUCUAGGAACUAAGUUCUUGGAUUUCACAAGUAUUGUUUCUUCACAGAUUAGUUUGUGUUAUUUUUGAAGUAUUAAUAUAUAAAAACAUCUUCCUCUUUUUGCCUUUAAAUGGUAAUGCCAUUUUUCCUUACCCUGUA